CCUACGGGUGGCUGCAGUGGGGGAUAUUGGACAAUGGGGGAAACCCUGAUCCAGCGAUGCCGCGUGAGGGAAGAAGGUUUUCGGAUUGUAAACCUCUGUGGAGGGGGACGAUAAUGACGGUAACCCAUUGGUAAGCCACGGCUAACUACGUGUCAGCAGCCGCGGUAAUACGUAGUAUGCGCGCGUUAUGUGGAUUUAUUGGGGUGAAAGGGUGCGCAGGCGGUAGAUCAAGUCAGCGGUAAAAUUGAGUGGCUCAACCUCUUCGAGCCGUUGAAACUGGUUUUCUUGAGUGAGUGAGACGUGUGCGGAAUGCGAGGUGUAGCGGUGAAAUGCAUAGAUAUAACGCAGAACUCCGAUUGCGAAGGCAGCAUACCGGCGCUCAACUGACGCUCAUGCACGAAAGUGUGGGUAUCGAACAGGAUUAGAUACCCCUGUAGUC
rnacentral:rRNA from 1 species